UCUCAUCUCUCUAUCACAUAUCUGAAGCACCAUCUCCCUCGCGCUCUCGUGGUCACCGAGCUCGCGUUGUCGAUGUCACAAGCUCGCCGAGCUCGCCAUUUCCCUCAUGUUACUACGCUUUCCAAAUUCGUGUGUCAGAGUUCUGUGGUAGGUGGCAUUCAAGGUUAGCCUCUUUACCCUCAGCCUCCUCACCUUCUCCCUCUCUUUCUCUCAUUUCUUUGAUUCCCAAAUAUCAGAAUCCCUAAUUUCUUCCACUAUUUCUUAAAUUCCCAAAUUAGACACAUAAAUUAGAGGAUCUAAAACACAAAUUUCGUCAUCUUCCUCUUUUCUAGGGUUUAUUUGGGUAAUAAUCUAUUUCUAGCGUUAUGUUCUACUUGUUUAGCUUUCUCCACCCUUUUAUCUGUAUCAAUGGGUUUGAUUAUUAUGUGGAUUUUGUUUUUGUUUUUUGCAAGUGUGGAUUUCAGUGUGCAUCUUCGUGUUCCCUCUCCGUCCUCUGUUUUUUUUUUUCUUAGUUUCCCUUAAAUAAUUACUUUGUGCUUGUUCAUUUGAGUGCUUCGUUUAAAUCAGUAUUCCAACAAGCAAUUGUUUUGGUUUCAUGAAUUUGAUUUUCUAAUUUCUUUGUGUUUGUGUUUGGGCUUGUACAUUUAUGUUAAUCCCUUUGAGAGAUGUUUGUCGUUUUUCUUUUAGAAGAUGAUUUGAUGCCCGUUGAGCGUUGCUUACUGGGAAAAUAGUGGAGUAGAACAACAAAAUCAGCUGGGAAAUUUGGCGUUUUGUUAUUCGCUCAACAGUCAAAAUUGAAGGGAUUUGUAGGAUGUAAGAUUGAGAAAGAGACUUUAAAGCAUAAUCUUUAACACCGAGGAAUUAAUGGAUUGUUGAAGGUGUUGCUUAAAGUUCAGUGUGGUUGUUUCUUACCUAGUUAUAAAAAUCAAGUAUUUCUUAUUGGUGAUAUAAAGAUGGAAGCAGAGAGUCAAAUGAGGGAGGUAAAAUAUGCUGCUGAUAUUUGCUGUAUCAAGUAAUUUCUAAACUACAAUACCUUGACCUUUGGGGGAGUAAAAUAUCUGACCAAGGUACAAUUCCUUGACCUUUGUUGUUAAAGUUAGCAUCUGGGUUCAAUAUUUUGCUUUGAAUGAGGCUUUUGUGUUGUUUGGUUUAAUUUGAUAAUUGCUAGGUUAUAUAUAUAUAUAUGUUUGGUUCUAUUUGAGUGGGUUAAAUUUGGUUCUAAUGCAGAGCAAAUCCUCUGUUUUAUUACUUUUCAGUUUUAUCUCUCCUUUCAUUUUAUUUUGUGCUUGCUCAUUUCAAUUCUAGCGUUAAUCACCCAGGCUAUAUCUUCUAAACUUCGUUUUCUUUUCUCACAUGGUUAUCAAGUUUGGCUUAAUCACCCAGGUUGUUUGUUCUGACAGAUAAGUUUGCAUUAAUUUUAUGGUGUUAUACAAUUACAGGUAGUUGCUGGAUUCGCAGCAGAUGGAAGGCAAAUUGUUGGCAGGACCAAGUCUGAAGCUAACUAUGAAAGCCUACAUGAUAGUGUAUACAUCAUUAACUUUCUCUUCGAAUCUCUCUCUGUAAAGCAGGUAGUACUGGAUUAGUCCUCAAGCUGCUGUCAUUCUAAAGCUGCAUAGAUCUUAUUUCGACACCACCAACUUGAAAAAUGUGCAAGAAGGCAAAGCUAAGUCAACCCAAUAACAAAUUGAUGAAGUUAAGAUCAAAUUAGUAGAAUUUGUGAGCUCAAUUAUAUCUAAUUAUAGGUAGGAAGUAUGUAUGUAAUAG